GAUGAACGCUGGCGGCGUGCCUAAUACAUGCAAGUCGAGCGAACAGACGAGGAUCUUGCUCCUCUGACGUUAGCGGCGGACGGGUGAGUAACACGUGGAUAACCUACCUAUAAGACUGGGAUAACUUCGGGAAACCGGAGCUAAUACCGGAUAAUAUAUUGAACCGCAUGGUUCAAUAGUGAAAGACGGUUUUGCUGUCACUUAUAGAUGUAUCCGCGCCGCAUUAGCUAGUUGGUAAGGUAACGGCUUACCAAGGCAACGAUGCGUAGCCGACCUGAGAGGGUGAUCGGCCACACUGGAACUGAGACACGGUCCAGACUCCUACGGGAGGCAGCAGUAGGGAAUAUUCCGCAAUGGGCGAAAGCUUGACGGAGCAACGCCGCGUGAGUGAUGAAGGUCUUCGGAUCGUAAAACUCUGUUAUUAGGGAAGAACAAAUGUGUAAGUAAAUAUGCACGUCUUGACGGUACCUAAUCAGAAAGCCACGGCUAACUACGUG
rnacentral:rRNA from 1 species